rnacentral:rRNA from 1 species
AGCUUGCUCCCUGAUGUUAGCGGCGGACGGGUGAGUAACACGUGGGUAACCUGCCUGUAAGACUGGGAUAACUCCGGGAAACCGGGGCUAAUACCGGAUGGUUGUUUGAACCGCAUGGUUCAAACAUAAAAGGUGGCUUCGGCUACCACUUACAGAUGGACCCGCGGCGCAUUAGCUAGUUGGUGAGGUAACGGCUCACCAAGGCAACGAUGCGUAGCCGACCUGAGAGGGUGAUCGGCCACACUGGGACUGAGACACGGCCCAGACUCCUACGGGAGGCAGCAGUAGGGAAUCUUCCGCAAUGGACGAAAGUCUGACGGAGCAACGCCCCGUGAGUGAUGAAGGUUUUCGGAUCAUAAAGCUCUGUUGUUAGGGAAGAACAAGUACCGUUCGAAUAGGG